CCUACGGGCGGCAGCAGUGGGGAAUAUUGCUCAAUGGGCGCAAGCCUGAUGCAGCCACGCCGCGUGAAGGAUGAAGGCCUUCCGGUUGGUAAACUCUUUUAGUAGGGAAGUACGGUGAAGGUCCUAUACCUUUUUGAAUUUACUUUACCGACAAAAGAAGGACCGGCUAACUCCGUGCCAGCAGCCGCGGUAAUACGGAGGGGGCUUGCGUUAAUCGGAAUUACUGGGCGUAAAGCGCACGUAGGCGGUAUGUCAAGUCAGAUGUGAAAUCCCCGGGCUUAACCAGGGAAUUGCAUUUGAUACUGGCAAGCUGGAGUGUAGUAGAGGUAGGUGGAAUUCGAGGUGUAGCGGUGAAAUGCGUAGAGAUCUGGAGGAACACCGGUGGCGAAGGCGGCCACCUGGACAACCACUGACGCUGAGGUGCGAAAGCGUGGGUAGCAAACAGGAUUAGAUACCCUUGUAGUC
rnacentral:rRNA from 1 species